UACAGAGGUCCCAAGCGUUGUUCGGAUUCAUUGGGCGUAAAGAGUACGUAGGCGGUCUUGUAAGUCUGAUAUUAAAGACUGGAGCUUAACUCCAGGACUGUAUCGGAAACUACAAAACUAGAGGACAAUAGAGGAAGUCGGAAUUCUCAGUGUAGCGGUGAAAUGCGUAGAUAUUGGGAAGAACACCAGUGGCGAAAGCGGACUUCUGGGUUGUUACUGACGCUGAGGUACGAAAGCGUGGGGAGCAAACGGG
rnacentral:rRNA from 1 species